GACUAACGCUGGCGGCGUGCUUAAUACAUGCAAGUCAACGACUUUUAGAGUAGCAAUAUUUUAAAGGAAGUGGCGCACGGGUGAGUAACACGUAGGUAAUCUGCCUUCAGGACUGACACAACUCGUCGAAAGACGGGCUAAUAUCAGAUAAUGCAGCGGCUCCGCAUGGAGACAGUUGUUAAAGUACAAGCGCCUGAAGAUGAGCCUGCGGUCCAUUAGCUAGUUGGUAGAGUAACAGCCUACCAAGGCAACGAUGGAUAGCUGGUCUGAGAGGAUGAUCAGCCACACUGGAACUGAGACACGGUCCAGACUCCUACGGGAGCAGCAGUAAGGAAUAUUGCUCAAUGGCCGAAAGGCUGAAGCAGCAACGCCGCGUGAAGGAUGAAUGGCCUUUGG
rnacentral:rRNA from 1 species